GGUUAAGUUAACAAGGGCGCAUGGUGAAUGCCUUGGCACUAGGAGCCGAUGAAGGACGGGACUAACACCGAUAUGCUUCGGGGAGCUGUACGUAAGCUAUGAUCCGGAGAUUUCCGAAUGGGGCAACCCAGCAGUUUUAAUCAACUGUUACCACUAGAUGAAUUCAUAGUCUAGUUGGAGGUAAACGCUGUGAACUGAAACAUCUCAUUAGCAGCAGGAAUAUAAAGAAAUUUCGAUUCCCUAAGUAGCGGCGAGCGAACGGGGAACAGCCCAAACCAAAGUGCUUGCACUUUGGGGUUGUAGGACUGAACAUUUGAGUUACCAAAGAACUUGAUAGUCGAAGGAUUUGGGAAAAUCCGCCAUAGAUGGUGAUAGCCCAGUAGAUUAAAUCAAAUUCUCUCAGUUCAGGAUCCUGAGUACGGCGGAACACGUGAAAUUCCGUCGGAAUCCGGGAGGACCAUCUCCCAAGGCUAAAUACUACCUAGUGACCGAUAGUGAACCAGUACCGUGAGGGAAAGGUGAAAAGCACCCCGGGAGGGGAGUGAAAUAGUUCCUGAAACCAUGUGCCUACAAUAAGUCAGAGCGCGUUAAUGCGUGAUGGCGUGCCUUUUGUAGAAUGAACCGGCGAGUUAUGAUCCCGUGCAAGGUUAAGACUAAAAAGUCGGAGCCGUAGCGAAAGCGAGUCUGAAAUGGGCGUUUUGAGUACGAGGUUAUAGACCCGAAACCAGGUGACCUAUCCAUGUCCAGGUUGAAGGUGCGGUAAAACGCACUGGAGGACCGAACCCGUGUAAGUUGAAAAUUGCUGGGAUGAGGUGUGGAUAGCGGUGAAAUUCCAAACGAACUUGGAGAUAGCUGGUUCUCUCCGAAAUAGCUUUAGGGCUAGCCUCGGAAUUAGGAUCAUGGAGGUAGAGCACUAUUUGGACUAGGGGCCCGUCUUGGGUUACUGAAUUCAGAUAAACUCCGAAUGCCAUUGAUUCAUAUCCGGGAGUCAGACGAUGAGUGAUAAGAUCCACCGUCGAAAGGGGAACAGCCCAGACCAUCAGUUAAGGUCCCUAAAUGUAUGCUAAGUGGAAAAGGAUGUGGAGUUGCAUAGACAACUAGGAUGUUGGCUCAGAAGCAGCCACCAUUUAAAGAGUGCGUAAUAGCUCACUAGUCGAGUGAUCCUGCGCCGAAAAUGUACCGGGGCUAAGCAUACUACCGAAACCAUGGAUGCGACCAUUAGGUCGCGUGAUAGGAGAGCGUUCUAAGGGCGGUGAAGCAAGAUCGUGAGGACUUGUGGAGCGCUUAGAAGUGAGAAUGCCGGUAUGAGUAGCGAAAGAUAGGUGAGAAUCCUAUCCACCGAAUGACUAAGGUUUCCUGGGGAAGGCUCGUCCUCCCAGGGUUAGUCGGGACCUAAGUCGAGGCCGAGAGGCGUAGACGAUGGAUAACAGGUUGAGAUUCCUGUACUAGUUAAGUGCGUUUGAGCAAUGGAGGGACGCAGGAGGCUAAGAUGUGCAUUCUGUUGGAUUAGAAUGUCCAAGCAGUAAGUCUUGUGAAGAGUCAAAUGCUUUUCACUUUAAGGACAAGCUGUGAUGGGGAGCGAAAUUUAGUAGCGAAGCGUCUGAUGUCACACUGCCGAGAAAAGCUUCUAGUGAGUACUUAACUACCCGUACCGCAAACCGACACAGGUAGUCGAGGAGAGAAUCCUAAGGUGAGCGAGUGAACUCUCGUUAAGGAACUCGGCAAAAUGACCCCGUAACUUCGGGAGAAGGGGUGCUGAUCGCAAGAUCAGCCGCAGUGAAUAGGCCCAGGCGACUGUUUAUCAAAAACACAGGUCUCUGCAAAAUCGUAAGAUGACGUAUAGGGGCUGACGCCUGCCCGGUGCUGGAAGGUUAAAAGGAUGGGUUAGCUUCGGCGAAGCUCAGAAUUGAAGCCCCAGUAAACGGCGGCCGUAACUAUAACGGUCCUAAGGUAGCGAAAAAUUCCUUGUCGGGUAAGUUCCGACCCGCACGAAAGGCGUAACGAUCUGGGCACUGUCUCAACGAGAGACUCGGUGAAAUUAUAUUGUCCGUGAAGAUGCGGACUACCCGCGACAGGACGGAAAGACCCCAUGGAGCUUUACUGUAGCUUGAUAUUGAGUGUUUGUACAGCUUGUACAGGAUAGGUAGGAGCCAUAGAAACCGGAACGCUAGUUUCGGUGGAGGCGUUGGUGGGAUACUACCCUCGCUGUAUGACCACUCUAACCCGCACCACUAAUCGUGGUGGGAGACAGUGUCAGGUGGGCAGUUUGACUGGGGCGGUCGCCUCCUAAAAAGUAACGGAGGCGCCCAAAGGUUCCCUCAGAAUGGUUGGAAAUCAUUCGCAGAGUGUAAAGGCACAAGGGAGCUUGACUGCGAGACAGACAGGUCGAGCAGGGACGAAAGUCGGGCUUAGUGAUCCGGUGGUACCGUAUGGAAGGGCCAUCGCUCAACGGAUAAAAGCUACCCUGGGGAUAACAGGCUUAUCUCCCCCAAGAGUCCACAUCGACGGGGAGGUUUGGCACCUCGAUGUCGGCUCAUCGCAUCCUGGGGCUGUAGUCGGUCCCAAGGGUUGGGCUGUUCGCCCAUUAAAGCGGUACGCGAGCUGGGUUCAGAACGUCGUGAGACAGUUCGGUCCCUAUCCGUCGCGGGCGUAGGAAAUUUGAGAGGACCUGUCCUUAGUACGAGAGGACCGGGAUGGACAUACCUCUGGUGUACCAGUUGUGCCGCCAGGCGCAUCGCUGGGUAGCUACGUAUGGAUGUGAUAAACGCUGAAAGCAUCUAAGUGUGAAACACACCUCGAGAUGAGAUUUCCCAUUCCUUUAUGGAAGUAAGACCCCUGAAAGAUGAUCAGGUAGAUAGGUUAGAAGUGGCAGUGCGGUGACGCAUGAAGCGGACUAAUACUAAUCGGUCGAGGACUUAACCAA
rnacentral:rRNA from 1 species